GACGAACGCUGGCGGCGUGCUUAACACAUGCAAGUCGAACGGAAAGGCCCUGCUUUUGUGGGGUGCUCGAGUGGCGAACGGGUGAGUAACACGUGAGUAACCUGCCCUUGACUUUGGGAUAACUUCAGGAAACUGGGGCUAAUACCGGAUAGGAGCUCCUGCUGCAUGGUGGGGGUUGGAAAGUUUCGGCGGUUGGGGAUGGACUCGCGGCUUAUCAGCUUGUUGGUGGGGUAGUGGCUUACCAAGGCAUUGACGGGUAGCCGGCCUGAGAGGGUGACCGGCCACAUUGGGACUGAGAUACGGACCAGACUCCUACGGGAGGCAGCAGUGGGGAAUAUUGCACAAUGGGCGGAAGCCUGAUGCAGCAACGCCGCGUGCGGGAUGACGGCCUUCGGGUUGUAAACAGCUUUCGCCUGUGACGAAGCGUGAGUGACGGUAAUGGGUAAAGAAGCACCGGCUAACUACGUG
rnacentral:rRNA from 1 species